UUGUUGUUGUUCCUGACAGGAGGCGGUGCAGGGGGACAGCAGCAGACCUGGCARCCCUCAGCUGUCCUGUGAGGUCAGACUCUGCCCUGCAGCGACCCUCACAGCUCCGCUAACAUCUUCUACCUGCACACAGCCUCCAUCAGGUAAAGUUAAACAUGGACGACUGGGAAGAAGAGGAAACACCUACAGUCACAACCUACAGCCCCCCUGAAGGU